rnacentral:lncRNA from 1 species
GAGAGGCCGGCGGCGGGCGUGGAACUGUGGCGCUCUAAGCCCGGCUUUCUCCGGCAGCCGUCGGCAUCGCCUCUGGCUGGAGUGUCACGGACUGAUACAGCCUGGCUCUACCGAGACCUCGCCCUCUAGGCACAAGUGGGCCCCCAGUUCACGGGCUGCGCCUCAGCUGUUGGCCGCCUUGGCCCCGUGGCUCACCUGAAGCCUGGGCCGUGCAGGUGAGGGGAGAAUGGCGCCUGCUUUGUCAUCUCUAAGAGGCCCAAGCCCAGGAUCUUGCUUGGGUCCUCAGCUGGGCAGUCCUCAGGGAAACCAUGGUUUCCACUCGCCGUUUUAGCCCUCUCCCUUCCAAGGACCUAGAUGUGCGUAGAACCUUUUAGGACAGAUUCAUUUAACAACCAAAACACCCGUGGCUACAUACAGUUGCUAGGCAUCCUGUAUACACAGGACAUGUCCUAUAUUAAAUGAUCUUGUCCUGUGUUGACUUUGGGAGGACACCCUAAAUGUCUUAUAUUUAGCUUUUUCCAAUAAAUUACAAAAACUCGUAGUUACAGCUAUUUUUCUGCUCAGUAACUGGCACUUAAAUAAAAUGUUAACACCAGCUGAAAUAUAUAUAUCUCAUACUUCCAUAAAUAAUGAUCUGGACAGACCUUUAUGGUCUGUUCUGUUAGUUGGACUGCAGGAAGAAAAAACAGUGAAGAGGGGAGGCUGCUAAUUAAAAGAACUUACUUUUCAUAUUCAGGAAAGGAAAAGACUGUUUUUUGACCAAAGUCCCAAGUCACUAACAAGUACUUGCCAUUAAUUUACAUAAUUUUAGAUCAGUACACGUACUCUGAAAAUCAACCAGUACACAACAGCCUCACUCCAAGCUUCUGAACAUGAGCCAGUCAGUGAUAAACACUUCCCGAAGCCAGCCAGUGGCAGCUCUACCCAGCUCAUUGGCAAGUACCUCACUACUGUGCCCUUCCUUCUGGACAGGAGCCUUUCUCCAGUAUCAAAGUGGUUGCUAAGAUGGACAGACUUUGUUUUUUUUUUUUUUGCUUGUUUUUU